UGCCUAAUACNUGCNAGUNGAACGCUUCUUUUUCCACCGGAGCUUGCUCCACCGGAAAAAGAGGAGUGGNGAACGGGUGAGUAACACGUGGGUAACCUGCCCAUCANAAGGGGAUAACACUUGGAAACNGGUGCUAAUACCGUAUAACNAUCGAAACCGCAUGGUUUUGAUUUGAAAGGCGCUUUCGGGUGUCGCUGAUGGAUGGACCCNCGGUGCAUUAGCUAGUUGGUGAGGUAACGGCUCACCAAGGCGACNAUGCAUAGCCGACCUGAGAGGGUGAUCGGCCACAUUGGGACUGAGACACGGCCCAAACUCCUACGGGAGGCAGCAGUAGGGAAUCUUCGGCAAUGGACGAAAGUCUGACCGAGCAACGCCGCGNGAGUGAANAAGGUUUUCGGAUCGUAAAACUCUGUUGUUAGAGAAGAAUANGGAUGAGAGUAACUGUUCAUCCCUUGACGGUAUCUAACCNGAAAGCCACGGCUAACUACGUGCCAGCAGCCGCGGUAAUACGUAGGUGGCAAGCGUUGUCCGGAUUUAUUGGGCGUAAAGCGAGCGCAGGCGGUUUCUUUAAGUCUGAUGUGAAAGCCCCCGGCUCAACCGGGGAGGGUCAUUGGAAACUGGGAGACUUGAGUGCAGAAGAGGAGAGUGGAAUUCCAUGUGUAGCGGUGAAAUGCGUAGAUAUAUGGAGGAACACCAGUGGCGAAAGGCGGCUCUCUGGUCUGUAACUGACGCUGAGGCUCGAAAGCGUGGGGAGCAAACAGGAUUAGAUACCCCUGGUAGUCCACGCCGUAAACGAUGAGUGCUAAGUGUUGGAGGGUUUCCGCCCCUUCAGUGCUGCAGCUAACGCAUUAAGCACUCCGCCUGGGGAGUACGACCGCAAGGUUGAAACUCAAAGGAAUUGACGGGGGCCCGCACAAGCGGUGGAGCAUGUGGUUUAAUUCGAAGCAACGCGAAGAACCUUACCAGGUCUUGACAUCCUUUGACCACUCUANANANANAGCUUCCCCUUCGGGGGCAAAGUGACAGGUGGUGCAUGGUUGUCGUCAGCUCGUGUCGUGAGAUGUUGGGUUAAGUCCCGCAACGAGCGCAACCCUUAUUGUUAGUUGCCAUCAUUUAGUUGGGCACUCUAGCAAGACUGCCGGUGACAAACCGGAGGAAGGUGGGGAUGACGUCAAAUCAUCAUGCCCCUUAUGACCUGGGCUACACACGUGCUACAAUGGGAAGUACAACGAGUCGCAAAGUCGCGAGGCUAAGCUAAUCUCUUAAAGCUUCUCUCAGUUCGGAUUGUAGGCUGCAACUCGCCUACAUGAAGCCGGAAUCGCUAGUAAUCGCGGAUCAGCACGCCGCGGUGAAUACGUUCCCGGGCCUUGUACACACCGCCCGUCACACCACGAGAGUUUGUAACACCCGAAGUCGGUGAGGUAACCUUUUGGAGCCAGCCGCCUAAG
rnacentral:rRNA from 1 species